rnacentral:rRNA from 1 species
GUGUCAGCCGCCGCGGUAAUACGGGGGGGGCAAGCGUUGUUCGGAAUUACUGGGCGUAAAGGGCUCGUAGGCGGCCAACUAAGUCAGACGUGAAAUCCCUCGGCUUAACCGGGGAACUGCGUCUGAUACUGGAUGGCUUGAGUUCGGGAGAGGGAUGCGGAAUUCCAGGUGUAGCGGUGAAAUGCGUAGAUAUCUGGAGGAACACCGGUGGCGAAGGCGGCAUCCUGGACCGACACUGACGCUGAGGAGCGAAAGCCAGGGGAGCAAACGGGAUUAGAUACCCGAGUAGUCC